UAGUUAAUAUUUAUAUCUUAUAAAUGCCAGCAUCGACAUGUAAAUGAUUCAUUCUGUAUAUUUGGCAAUUGUAAGACCUGUGUAUAAUUUGAUUUGUAAACAAAAGAAAUUCAAAUUCUAAGAACAUUAAUUUUGUAAUACUAUAACAUCAAGUGUACAUCAUUUACUAAUACACAAAGUAUGCAACAUUAGCAUGAUAUGCAUGGUUAUAUUGAUUGUUUAAGAUAACUCUGAAUUUUUGAGUAGAACGAAAUCAUCCUUAGUAAGUUUAAACAACAUACAAGUUUGGUAUAUCAAAUAAAAAAUAACAAUAAACUAAAACGUAUAUGUACAUCACUCUUGUCCUCGUUUGUAAAAUAUAUAUAUAUAUCGCUUAAUUUAUUCACUCUAUAGCUUAUUGAAUUGUAGCUUAUGAAGUGAACACCUUCCCGAUGCACAUACACUGUUAAUAGUAAUAUUUAUGCAUUUUAAUUCUGACACUAUGGAUAUUUUAUUCACAUGUAUGUGCACAUCGAUUUUAUAUGUACAGCUGUACCUGUGUAACUUCAAAGCCCCUGUAACGAUCUACUUUCCCAUUCACUCACUAUUUAUGUGGGAAAGAGUGUUUCAUGGACUGUAUAUUUUAAUUACAUUUUCAGGAUAAUGACAAAUGAUGUAAUGUCCCUUAUGAAUAUAAAGGGCAAAGAGGGAAGAUGGCAUUUGGCACGACAUCAGUGUUUCAGGCAGUGAUAGCAAGUGCAGUUCAUCAAUUCAAUGCGAAGGAACACGAAGUCCGAGAGGCUGUUGCGAAGUACCUUAAAUAUGCACCAGACCGGAGAGGUGGAGGUGGCCGGGUCGAAAAAUAAUUAAUGGAAUAAAAUGAUAACUUUGAUUUAUAUUUCAGGGCGUCAAGUUUCCUUAAGUUUCUAUAUUUGGGGGUUAUUCCUAUAAAUUCCUAUAUUUCCACAAAAAUUCCUAUAUUUCUGUGAAAUUCCUAUAUUUUAGGGUAAGCAAGAAAUGUUGGAUUCUGAAGCAAAACCAGUACUGUAUAUUACAAACAAUUUGUGUCAUCUAUUUGUAACUAUACAACAUUUACUUCAAAAAGGUGCUAUAUUUCUGAGGUUUGUCCUAUAUUUUUUGGACCAAAAUUCACUUGACGCCCUGAUAUUUGAUAGUGUUACUGACUGAAUAUUAUUUCAUGAACAAUGAAUAAAGAAGAAAAAUGACAAGAA